GGGACUGUAGCUCAGUGGUUAGAGCAGGGGACUCAUAAUCCCUUGGUCGUAGGUUCGAGUCCUACCAGUCCCACCA
rnacentral:tRNA from 1 species